rnacentral:piRNA from 1 species
AAUGAUGGGCUGGAGAGAUGGCU